rnacentral:lncRNA from 1 species
AUCCUAAAUCAAAUCCUAAACAAACCUUAAAUAAAAUUCCAACCAAAUCCUAAAUCAAAUCCUAAAUCAAACCCUAAUCCAAUCCUAAUCCAAAUCCUAAACCCUAAAUCAAACUCUAAUCUAAAUCCUAAACCCUAAACCAAAUCCUAACUAAACCCUAAAUCCUAAAUCAAAUCCUAAUCAAACCCUAAAUCCUAAAUCAAAUCCUAAACCAAAUCUUAAUCCAAAUCCUAAUCAAAUCCUA